rnacentral:rRNA from 1 species
AUUGAACGCUGGCGGCAGGCCUAACACAUGCAAGUCGAGCGGCAGCGGGAAAGUAGCUUGCUACUUUUGCCGGCGAGCGGCGGACGGGUGAGUAAUGCCUGGGAAAUUGCCCAGUCGAGGGGGAUAACAGUUGGAAACGACUGCUAAUACCGCAUACGCCCUACGGGGGAAAGCAGGGGACCUUCGGGCCUUGCGCGAUUGGAUAUGCCCAGGUGGGAUUAGCUAGUUGGUGAGGUAAUGGCUCACCAAGGCGACGAUCCCUAGCUGGUCUGAGAGGAUGAUCAGCCACACUGGAACUGAGACACGGUCCAGACUCCUACGGGAGGCAGCAGUGGGGAAUAUUGCACAAUGGGGGAAACCCUGAUGCAGCCAUGCCGCGUGUGUGAAGAAGGCCUUCGGGUUGUAAAGCACUUUCAGCGAGGAGGAAAGGUUGAUGCCUAAUACGUAUCA